rnacentral:rRNA from 1 species
GAUGAACGCUGGCGGCGUGCUUAACACAUGCAAGUCGAACGAGGUCCAUGGAGCUUGCUCCGGAAGCCCUAGUGGCGAACGGGUGCGUAACACGUGAGAAUCCUGCCCCGGUCUCUGGGAUAUCAGUUGGAAUCGACUGCUAAUGCCGGAUGCCGUCACACCGCUUCAUGGUGGAGUGACGAAAGAUUUAUCGGAUCGGGAGGGUCUCGCGGCCUAUCAGCUAGUUGGAGAGGUAACGGCUCUCCAAGGCAUCGACGGGUAGCUGGUCUGAGAGGAUGAUCAGCCUCACUGGGACUGAGACUCGGCCCAGACUCCUACGGGAGGCAGCAGUGGGGAAUCUUGCACAAUGGGCAAAGCCUGAUGCAGCAGCGCGCGUGCGGGUUGUAGGCCCUAGGGUUGUAAGCCGCUUUCAGUAGGGAAG